GACGAACGCUGGCGGCGUGCUUAACACAUGCAAGUCGAGCGGAAAGGCCACUUCGGUGGUACUCGAGCGGCGAACGGGUGAGUAACACGUGAGUAAUCUGCCCCUGGCUUUGGGAUAGCCACCGGAAACGGUGAUUAAUACCGGAUACGACCACUUCUCGCAUGGGAUGGCGGUGGAAAGUUUUUUCGGCCAGGGAUGUGCCCGCGGCCUAUCAGCUUGAUGGUGAGGUAAUGGCUCACCAUGGCUUCGACGGGUAGCCGGCCUGAGAGGGUGACCGGUCACACUGGGACUGAGACACGGCCCAGACUCCUACGGGAGGCAGCAGUGGGGAAUAUUGGACAAUGGGCGGAAGCCUGAUCCAGCAACGCUGCGUGAGGGAUGACGGCCUUCGGGUUGUAAACCUCUUUCAGCAGGGACGAAGCGCAAGUGACGGUACCUGCAGAAGAAGCACCGGCCAACUACGUGCCAGCAGCCGCAGUAA
rnacentral:rRNA from 1 species